rnacentral:rRNA from 1 species
GGAUUGAACGCUGGCGGCAGGCCUAACACAUGCAAGUCGAGCGGUAGAGAGGUGCUUGCACCUCUUGAGAGCGGCGGACGGGUGAGUAAUGCCUAGGAAUCUGCCCAGUGGUGGGGGAUAACGUUCGGAAACGGACGCUAAUACCGCAUACGUCCUACGGGAGAAAGCGGGGGACCUUCGGGCCUCGCGCCAUUAGAUGAGCCUAGGUCGGAUUAGCUAGUUGGUGAGGUAAUGGCUCACCAAGGCGACGAUCCGUAACUGGUCUGAGAGGAUGAUCAGUCACACUGGAACUGAGACACGGUCCAGACUCCUACGGGAGGCAGCAGUGGGGAAUAGUUGGACAAUGGGCGAAAGCCUGAUCCAGCACUGCCCGCGUUGUAGUGAAAGAAGGUCGUUCGGAAUUUGGAAACGCUACGUUUAAGGUUGGGAGGAAGGGUUUGUAAC